rnacentral:lncRNA from 1 species
AAAUAAAAAGAACAAAAACUACCUAAAGGUAAAGGGGGGGUAUAAACCGACGGUGGACGGCGCUGGUCUGUCGUCGGGGCUCCGGCGGGGAGAGGCUGCAGGUGGACGGCGGCGGGCUUGAGCUCGGGGCAGCAGAGAUCGGUGGAGCAAGGGCACGGCGCGGGGUCCGUCGGGGCAGAGAAGGGUCGCGGCGACGGGGCGCGGGCUGAGGCGCGGCGGCGGAGCUGCGGCCGUCGUUGGUGUAGGCGCGGGUGAGGCGACUCACAGAGCUGGGUCGUGAGUUGCUGGGUGGCGGCGUCGUCUGCGGUGCGGGGCUCGGCCGUGGGGUCUCGAGCAGCGGACGUCGAGGAGCGGAGCGGCGAGGACGGGAGCGGCGGGCUUCGGAGCUCCGGCGAGAGCUGGGCAGCAACAAGUCGCGGCGGCGUCGGAUUUGGGUGCUCGCGGCGUCGGUGUUGCUGGGCGGAGGUGCAGGCGCGCAACUGACAGUGGUCUCAGGCGGAGGGAGACGAGCGGCAGGUUUUGGAGCUCCGGCGUCGCGCUGGGCAGCAGCAGGUCGCGAUGGCCGGCGCGGGGGACGCGGCGACCAGUGGGGGCGGCGCUGGCGUCGGCGAGCGGACCAGCGAGGCGGCGGUGCGGAGGCGCGGCGGAGCUCGGAGAUCGACGGGUGGCGUCGCGGGCGGAUCAGGAGUGUUGCAGUGGCGCGGCGUCGGCGAGGGCGGAAGCGCGGUCGUCGGGGCGCCCGGCGUUCGGAGGUGCGGCGAUGGAGCUACAGAUGCGGGCGAGUCCGGCGGAGUGGCAGUGGCGUCGGGGGCAGAGGUGCUGUGAUCGGCGGGCAAGUGCUGCAGAUGCUCGAACAGAGAGUGGAGGCGAGCGGCGGGACGUCGUGCAGCUUUGCGGAGAAGGAACCCACGAAGAAGAAACACAGUGCACGUCUCUUUCUUUUUUCUUUUUUUUUU